UUUCCGUAGGUGAACCUGCGGAAGGAUCAUUAAUGUGUUUGGGCCUCACGGCUCUUCAUUCCGACGCUGUGCGCCUUCGGGCUGCACGCUGAGGGAGCAUAUAUCCACCCCUGUGCACACACACGGUGGCGAGCUGGGUAACGGUUCGCCGCUGAUCUUUACACACGUCUAAAAGUCAUUGUAUGUUUAUUUGAGAUAGAAACACAACUUUCAGCAACGGAUCUCUUGGCUCUC
rnacentral:misc_RNA from 1 species